rnacentral:lncRNA from 1 species
GUGCUAAGCUUAGUGCUCUCUCUCCCACCACCAGUGGCAGAGCCACUGUGUGGGGAGAAACACCUUUUUAUCUUGGAGAGGGGCAGCCUUGUUUCUGAGGACAGAUGGGAGCAAAACGGGACAGGUAGGAAGUUUCGUGGUUUCUCGUGUCGCUUCUCCAAAAUAGCCACACUGCUGCCUCCCACUUCCUGCCUGACUCGGCUGGGGUAGAUUUUCUCCUUUAGAGGAUUUGUGUUCUGUGUAUUCCCAGGGAGGCUCGAAGGGAUCUGUUGCCAAAAACAUGCUUGACACUGAAGCCCUGGAGCUUGGCACUGAGGGCCCCAGCUCAGGUUUGGACCACUGGGUUUGCAUCCGGGCUCUGUCUCAUACUGGCUGCGUGACCUUGGGCAAAUGACUUCACUUCUCUGUGCCUCAUCAGUAGGAUGGAGAUAACAACUCUAGCUAUAUCCAGCAGUUACUCUGCAGAUUAAAUGAAUAUGUGUAAAGGGCACAGCCCAGUGUGGGCACAUAGCAACUCUUAAUGAAUCUCUUAAUAAAAAACAGCAAUGUUGUUGUUGAUCUCCAUCCCCUACCUGGAAAACUGUACCAGCCUCCCAGCCACCUUCCCUUUCCCCUGGCUUGCCUGCUCCAGCACAUCCCAGCAUGAUCCGAGAGUGAUAGAAACGUGAAACACAAAUCUGACCCUGCUAUCUGCUGCUUAAAAUCCACCCAUAGCUUCCAGCGUCUAUGGCAGGAAUGAGCAUUCUUUUGCUCUGAAUGGCCAGAUAGUAUUUGAAGCUUUGCCGGGCAUAUAGUCUCUCUUGACUUUGUCAUUGCAGCCUGGAAGCAACCACAGAUAAUAUGUAAAAAAUGGGCGUGGUUGUGUUCCAGUAAAAUUUUAUGUACGAAAACAGGCAGCCGGCUGGAUUUGCCAACCCUUGACCUACAGGAUGAAUCCAGACCCUUAGCUCAGCAUUCCCAGUUCAGCCUGUUCCCGUUAUCUCCAUCCUUCUUCCUCCCCCACCCCUGCUCUUGUGCAGAACAUGUCACACUUUAAUCCUUUGCGUGUGCUGCUCCCUCUUUCUGAGUUUUCCUUCCCUGCCCCCUGAGUGCCCCUUCCCCAUGGCAUUAGGACCUUUACUCUGGGAUUCUGUGGUACCCUGUCUUUAUUUCUACCCUGGUCAUAUAUGCAAGUUCCAUCUGUCUCUCCAUGAGAGGGGCUCCCCUCUAGGCAGGGAUUCGGCCUUCCUCUUCUGUACACCCAGCAGGGUGCUGCUGUAUAGGUUUCUGCAGGUGCUCAGUAAGCAUUUGUUAUUGAACCCAAGGAUCUGCAAGAUGGAUGGUUGGCCUCAGGGAGCUCACAGUCAGCUUAGAAAGCUAGGAUAUGAGCCAGUCAAAAGCCAGCCAGCAAUCCAGGCAGGAAAUGAUGAUGGUCUGUGUGUUUGGCCCUAACUGAUGUCAAGUGGAGAUUCUGAGCUUGAUAGAGGAAGGGCCUCGGGUGGUCCUCGAGGUGCCGCAGGUGGAAGAAGAACAGGCCAAGGCAAAUGCCUCCGGUACCCAGCACUGCCUGGUGCACAGUAGUGGUUGAUCAGUAAUUGUUGAACCAAUCAGGGUUUCUGUUUGCUUGAAGGAAAGGGUAGGAGUGGAGGGUGAGUGACUGGGUGAAUGGGUGCUAUGAGGACAAAGGAGAGUGGAGUUUAGAGGUAGCACUAGUGUCGCAAGCCUGAAGGUUUACCAGAGACAGAGGGGUGAAAAGAUGAGUGGGGCACUAAGCAUAUUGAAUGUGAGAGCUGCUGGAAAUGCAGGAUUGGGGCGUGCUGGGUGGGGCAGGUGAUGUGUGCAGCUGUGGAAGCUGCUACCAAGUCAAGCAUUUUCAGAUGGACAUGCUUAGGCAGGAAGGAACAAGGCUUGGCUCCUGGCCUGGGGAGAGUUAACCUCCUGGCCCGGCAUUGCAUAACCGCAGAGUCUGCUGAGCGCAAGGAGACUCUUCUGUGUGGCAGCCAGAGUGGCAAGCCUGGUGGCUCCGGGCUCUGGCACCAUCCCGCAGCGGAACAAACAGCCCUCCCUUCCCAGAUAAUGGCCCUCAUUGAGCAUUGUGUCCAUGGCCAGCACCCAGCACAGGGCAGCUCAGCCUGGGAGAAAGGUAAAAAAAGGUUAACAAGCUUAGCCCUUAUGAAGGAAAGGAAGGCUGCUAAAAACAGUGUUUGGUUACCUGCAGUGUCAGGACUGUGAUUCAAAUCUGUGUCCUCUCUGUGAGGCUGGUGUGGCCUGGCUGCCUUGAGGGUCACCACUGCAGGAGUCACCUGAUGGUCCAAGUUCAGGUUCUGUCUCUGCUACUUAUCAGUUUUGUGAUUUUGGGCCUCAGUUUCCUCACCUGUAAAAUGGGAAUGAUAAUAGUACCCGCCUGAAGGGUCAUUGUGAGGAAUAAAUGAGUGAAUUUGCGUAACAUACUAAGAACAGCCCUGGCACAUAGUCAGAGUUCAUUUGCUCCGUCUAGGCACAGGACAUUGGUUUAGAUGAUCUUCCUCUGAAUUAUUAUGCCCACAGACAAUCAGGGGAAAUCUGGGCCUCUGCAAGUCUGGCAGAGUAGAGUUUUUGCUACAUCAUUGCUUGAUCUUGACUGUGAAAUGUGUUUUUGCUUUCUAUGGGGAUGUCACAGGAGACUUCAUUCUCCUUGGUGAUAUCAGUUUCACCUGGAUCCCUGAGCUCUCUAACAGGAAGACAAAUACCAGCCGGGUCUAACUCGUCUAGGAUUGCCUAGGCUUCUGUUUGCUUUCGAUAGAAUUUGCUUUUUGACCAGUGUGCAGAAAUUCCAAGCCCUGUUUAGGUCUUGGAGUUGGGAGGGAGGAGGAGAAGGAAAAGUAGGAACACAGAGACCAGUCAUCCAAGGGAAAUGAUUUAAGAGCCUCCCAGACAGUGAAAAAUCCACCAUUCAUUAUUGAGGGAAAAAGCAGUUAACAAGAAACUCAGCCCUAAGGUUAACAUGGUCAUGCAGAGUGACUUGCAUGCAGGGAGGACUUUGAUGCAAGUGUAUGUAGGUGGCUGCAGUUAACCAGGGAAGACUUCCUGGAGGAUCUCAGAUACAGGGAAGGAAGGUAGGAUCCACUCGGUCAUUCUGACCAAGAUCAGGGCCCUUGGGGGUUUCCUGGAUGUUGGCCAGCACUCAGGGUUCAAAUCCUGCCUUUGCCUUUUUGUGUCUGAUCUGAAGCAAUUAGCCUCAGCCCUGCCCCCAUCUAUAAAAAGGGGAUGUGUAAGAAUCAAUAUGUUUGUUUUGUUUGGGCAUGGUAGGUGGUCAGUUAAGUGUUUUUAAAUAUUUUUAAUAUUUUACUGAGUGUGGAGUUCUGUAUCAGGCACUGGAAAUGCAAAUCUGAAUGGAGCCUAGUUCCUGCCCAGGCCAGGGGGAGGCAGGUUCACCUGGAAGACACUGAUGAACUGGUUAAGCCACAGGCCUGGCU